GUAUUGUCCCAAAACGAUAAUUCCAAGAACCACUGCCUCAUGUCGAGUGAUGAUGCCGUGAAACCCGUACCCUUCACUCGCCGGCGCCCCACCAGAGAAGCUAGCAGCAGCUCCGAUUCCUCUCACCGCAAGCACACCAAAUUUCUCCAUCAUUUCAAGUUUUCUCAUUUUUGGAUCCUCCCAAUCUAUGCAAAGCUGCACCAGGGUUUGUACGCAGUGGAGCCCCUGAUGAGCAUAAUCACGGGUGAAUGAUGGGUUGGCAUGAACUACAAAUUACUAACAGUUUUAGAAUUAGAAUGUAAUGAAUGCGUUAAUUUUGGAAUGUGAUUU